CAGUCGCCGCGGUAAUACGUAGGUGGCAAGCGUUGUCCGGAAUUAUUGGGCGUAAAGGGCUCGCAGGCGGUUUCUUAAGUCUGAUGUGAAAGCCCCCGGCUCAACCGGGGAGGGUCAUUGGAAACUGGGAAACUUGAGUGCAGAAGAGGAGAGUGGAAUUCCACGUGUAGCGGUGAAAUGCGUAGAGAUGUGGAGGAACACCAGUGGCGAAGGCGACUCUCUGGUCUGUAACUGACGCUGAGGGGCGAAAGCGUGGGGAGCGAACAGGAUUAGAUACCCCAGUAGUCCCUGUCUCUUAUAA
rnacentral:rRNA from 1 species